rnacentral:rRNA from 1 species
UACGGAGGGUGCAAGCAUUGAUCGGAAUUACUGGGCGUAAAGGGCGCGUAGGCGGUUAAAGAAGUCAGAUGUGAAAUUCCGGGGCUCAACCCCGGAGCUGCAUUUGAAACUUUUUGACUAGAGUACAGUUAGGGUAAACGGAAUUCCACGUGUAGCGGUGAAAUGCGUAGAUAUGUGGAAGAACACCGGUGGUGAAGACGGUUUACUGGGCUGAAACAGACGCUGAGGCGCGAAAGCUAGGGGAGCAAACAGG